rnacentral:rRNA from 1 species
CGUGAAAUUGUUGAAAGGGAAGCGCUCAUGACCAGACUUGGGCUUGGUUGAUCAUCCAGGGUUCUCCCUGGUGCACUCUUCCAGCCCAGGCCAGCAUCAGUUCGCUGUGGGGGAUAAAGGCUUUGGGAAUGUGGCUCCUCCGGGAGUGUUAUAGCCCAUUGUGUAAUACCCUGUGGUAGACUGAGGUUCGCGCAUCUGCAAGGAUGCUGGCGUAAUGGUCAUCAGCGACCCGUCUUGAAACACGG